CCUACAUGUAAAACAGGGCACGCGUGACUCUAUACAGCCCCAAAUGCAGCAGAGGUAUACGUGGGAGAGAUUUAGGUGUUAACAGCAUCAUCCAGUUCAGUUUCUAUGUGGAUGUUCUUACAUCCAGCAUGGCCUGCCUUAACCCCCUAACAUGGAACUGUGUAGCCACGUGCCUGCUCGGAGUUUCUCUGUGAUGUGACUACUGUCCCUACACCAGAUGGUGGCAAAGGAGGAUGGCAAACUCUCCUCCUGCGGGAAAUGGCAGCAGAGAACUGAAUCUACCAUGCAGGUUUACUUUCACUGUAGUGCAUCAGCCUGUGUCUCAGCUACUAUGAAUCCUAACCUUCUGAGAGCUUUCUGGCAGAGACAACAUAUCUGGCAAGAACAACAGUGUGAAAUGAAGAUAAAUGAAGAAUAUGGGCACAUGAAUCUUAAGAAGUAGCCUGGGUUGAUCUUAUUCAGAGGAAGGUUUUCAGCUAUUUGUAGUAUUUUCCUCAGCUCGUAACAGCAGCAGCAACAACAUAUGUAGCAACUCUAAUAAUCAGUAGAGGAGAGAAAACCUGCGGUUUCUAUGUCAGCCUAGGGCUUAACAGAGCCUGGUUCCUUCCUUCUCCCGUAAACUUGUGUUUAACCUUGAAAUAGAAGAGACAUCCUGUGCCUUUACUUCAGCGUCUCGAGCAUGUUUUGACAAGUGUCUCAGAGCAUGUAUGCAGUUCCCCACUUUUGCAAGCAACUUUGAUUCUGCUGUAUGUAUUUUAAUACCAGCAUGGUAUUAGUCAGGUUUUAAUUGGCACAAUCUGCGUCACUUCACCUUUGUCCAAGUAAACUUCACACAGGAGAUGUGAAUAUAUUCUUUCCCGUAUUUGGAAGGCAUUAAAGGAAAUCACCUCCAAUCUGAUUCCUAAUCAAUGGAGCAAAGACACCUGCCCAUACAGAGAUUAUUUUGGGGGAAAUUCAGGUUUGAUCUCUUGAAUCAAAUGAUCCCUUCAAGAGAAGUUCAGUAAAAUAGAAUUGCGCUGUAUUAUCAAGCUAUGAGUCAAAUCUAGAGAAGAGACAAGUAUAGAUGAGCCACAGGUCAUGGAUUCCCUUUUUUUCCUACAAGAAAUUCUUGAAUAUGUU
rnacentral:lncRNA from 1 species